UCAAGUGACUAAGUGUAUGUGGUGGAUGCCUUGGCGAUUACAGGCGAUGAAGGACGUGGCAGUCUGCGAAAAGCUGUGGGGAGUUGACAACGAACUUUGAUCCACAGGUCUCCGAAUGAGGGAACUCACCUGCAAAGGUAUCUUUAGCUGAAUACAUAGGCUAAAGAGGCGAACGUAGUGAACUGAAACAUCUAAGUAGCUACAGGAAAAGAAAUCAACCGAGAUUGCGCUAGUAGCGGCGAGCGAAUGCGCAGCAGCCUAAUGAUUGAUAGCAUCGAAAACAGCAGAAAGAUCUGGAAAGUUCUGCUAUAGAGGGUGAUAGCCCCGUAUGCGACAUUUUCGGUGUGGUACUAAGAUCAUGAAAAGUAAGGCGGGACACGUGAUAUCCUGCUUGAAGAUGGGGGGACCAUCCUCCAAGGCUAAAUACUCGUAAUCGACCGAUAGUGAACCAGUACCGUGAGGGAAAGGCGAAAAGAACCCCGGGAGGGGAGUGAAAUAGAUUCUGAAACCGCAUACAUACAAACAGUAGGAGCCCUGUUAAGGGGUGACUGCGUACCUUUUGCAUAAUGGGUCAGCGACUUACGUUCAGUAGCGAGCUUAACCGAGUAGGGGAGGCGUAGCGAAAGCGAGUUCGAAUAGAGCGAGUAGUUGCUGGGCGUAGACCCGAAACCGGAUGAUCUAUCCAUGACCAGGUUGAAGUUGUGGUAACACACAAUGGAGGACCGAACCGACUAGUGUUGCAAAAUUAGCGGAUGAGUUGUGGAUAGGGGUGAAAGGCUAAACAAAUCCGGAGAUAGCUGGUUCUCCCCGAAAACUAUUGAGGUAGUGCCUCGCGUAUCACUCCAGGGGGUAGAGCACUGUUAUGGCUAGGGGGACAUGGCGUCUUACCAAACCAUGGCAAACUCCGAAUACUUGGAAGUGCAAGCGCGGGAGACAGAGCACCGGGUGCUAACGUCCGGACUCAAAAGGGAAACAACCCAGACCGCCGGCUAAGGUCCCAAAUAUUUGCUAAGUGGAAAACGAAGUGGAAAGGCUAAGACAGUCAGGAAGUUGGCUUAGAAGCAGCCAUCCUUUAAAGAAAGCGUAAUAGCUCACUGAUCGAGUCUUUCUGCGCGGAAGAUGUAACGGGGCUAAGCAAGUAACCGAAGCCGCGGAUUCAUACUAAGUAUGAGUGGUAGGGGAGCGUUCUGUAAGCCUGCGAAGGUGUGUUGAGAAGCAUGCUGGAGGUAUCAGAAGUGCGAAUGCUGACAUGAGUAACGUUAAAGCGGGUGAAAAGCCCGCUCGCCGUAAGCCCAAGGUUUCCUGCUCUACGUUCAUCGGAGCAGGGUGAGUCGGCCCCUAAGGCCAGGCUGAGAAGCGUAGUCGAUGGGAACAAGGUUAAUAUUCCUAGACCAUUGUCAAGUAUGCGAUGGGGGGACGGAGUGUGGAAGAUGAUCCGGGUGUUGGAUGUCCCGGUUUGUGAGAGUAGAACGAGAGCAGGCAAAUCCGCUCUCGAAUGUUCGAGUCAAAACAUCGAAGCUCUACGGAGCUGAAGUCAUCGGAAGUGCUUCCAAGAAAAGCCUCUAAGUGGUAGCUUGACAAGACCGUACCGCAAACCGACACUGGUGGGCGAGUUGAAUAUACUAAGGCGCUUGAGAGAACUCGGGAGAAGGAACUCGGCAAAUUGACACCGUAACUUCGGAAGAAGGUGUGCCUUUGUAGUGUGAUGGAAGAGACAUCCGGAGCAUGAAGAGGCCUCAGAGAAUAGGUGGCUGCAACUGUUUACUAAAAACAUAGCACUCUGCAAAGAUGAAAGUCGACGUAUAGGGUGUGAUGCCUGCCCGGUGCUGGAAGAUUAAUUGAUGGGGUGCAAGCUCCUGAUCGAAGUCCCAGUAAACGGCGGCCGUAACUAUAACGGUCCUAAGGUAGCGAAAUUCCUUGUCGGGUAAGUUCCGACCUGCACGA
rnacentral:rRNA from 1 species